AUACGUAGGGUGCAAGCGUUAAUCGGAAUUACUGGGCGUAAAGCGUGCGCAGGCGGUUUUGUAAGACAGAGGUGAAAUCCCCGGGCUCAACCUGGGAACUGCCUUUGUGACUGCAAGGCUAGAGUACGGCAGAGGGGGAUGGAAUUCCGCGUGUAGCAGUGAAAUGCGUAGAUAUGCGGAGGAACACCGAUGGCGAAGGCAAUCCCCUGGGCCUGUACUGACGCUCAUGCACGAAAGCGUGGGGAGCAAACAGGAUUAGAUACCCUGGUAGUCCACGCCCUAAACGAUGUCAACUGGUUGUUGGGUCUUCAUUGACUCAGUAACGAAGCUAACGCGUGAAGUUGUCCGCCUGGGGAGUACGGCCGCAAGGUUGAAACUCAAAUGAAUUGACGGG
rnacentral:rRNA from 1 species